GGCCAAGUAACAUAAAGGUAAUGUAUUGGAUUGCAAAUCCUAUAAAGAUGGUUCAAAUCCGUCCUUGGCCU
rnacentral:tRNA from 1 species